GGCGCUAUAGCCAAGUGGUUACGGCGACAGAUUAGAAUCUAGCGCAAAUAAACUGGUAUCUGUUCCUCUUUGAGGGCGCAGGUUCGAAUCCUGCUGGCGUCG